rnacentral:rRNA from 1 species
UCGCCUGUUUAUCAAAAACAUGGUUUCUUGAAUAUGUAUAGGAAAUCUAACCUGCCCACUGAAAAUUUUUGAAGGGCCGCAGUAUUUUGACUGUGCAAAGGUAGCAUAAUCAUUAGUCUUUUAAUUGAGGGCUGGAAUGAAUGGUUGGACGAGGUAAAUUCUGUUUUAUGUUAAUUAGUGUUUGAAUUUAGAUUUUAAGUAAAAAGACUUAAAUAUUAUUAAGGGACGAGAAGACCCUAUAGAGUUUAAUAUUUGUAAUAUUAAUUAAGUUAAUAAUUAAUUUUUAGUUAUUAUGAAGAUUAUUUAAUUGGG